rnacentral:rRNA from 1 species
AUUGAACGCUGGCGGCAGGCCUGAUACAUGCAAGUCGAGCGGAAACAGGGGAGCUUGCUCCCGCUGUCGAGCGGCGGACGGGUGAGUAAAGCGCAGGAAUCUACCUAUCAACCUGGGAUAGCCCAGAGAAAUUUGGAUUAAUACCGGAUACGAUCUACGGAUGAAAGAGGGCCACUACAUGUAAGCUCUUGUUGAUAGAGGAGCCUGUGUGAGAUUAGCUAGUUGGUAGGGUAAGAGCCUACCAAGGCGACGAUCUCUAGCUGUUCUGAGAGGAUGAUCAGCCACACUGGGACUGAGACACGGCCCAGACUCCUGCGGGAGGCAGCAGUACGGAAUAUUGCACAAUGGGCGCAAGCCUGAUGCAGCCAUGCCGCGUGUGUGAAGAAGGCUUUCGGGUUGUAAAGCACUUUCAGUGGGGAGGAAAGGAGUAUGGAUAAUAGCCAUAUUUUGUGACGUUACCUACAGAAGAAGCACCGGCUAACUCCG